rnacentral:rRNA from 1 species
UGUGUAGGCGGUUCCUUAAGUUUGGUGUGAAAUCUCCCGGCUCAACUGGGAGGGUGCGCCGAAUACUGAGGGACUCGAGUGCGGGAGAGGAAAGUGGAAUUCCUGGUGUAGCGGUGAAAUGCGUAGAUAUCAGGAGGAACACCGGUGGUGUAGACGGCUUUCUGGACCGUAACUGACGCUGAAACACGAAAGCGUGGGUAGCAAACA